rnacentral:lncRNA from 1 species
GCAGCCGGUCUCCGGGAUGAUGGACGAGCACUGACAGGGGAGCGGCAGGGGUGUAGAGGUGUCAAAGGUGCCACCUCCUCCAAGAUAACGGAUUUUGGGUUGAGAAGAUAGACUGUGAUACAAACAACAACCAUGAGGACAACAACAACAUCUCGACAACGACAGCAACAAAUGCCAUUUUCGAGGGCCUAAUUCCCGCCACACACUGUAGUGGAUGUCCUUGACCACCAGUCAAGGUCAAAUGAAACGGAAGUGGUCCGCCCCUUAAUUCAGUCAACAGAGGAGCACGCAAAGUUUAUCCAAGGAGAAGUUGGCUAUAAAUUUUUCCGUCUCCACAGCCACCUGGCCCUGGCCCCAAGCUCGGUCAGUGGAUGCUGCUGAGCAGACUACAGAUCCGUCACUGGGCGAGUCCUGAGCCAGCACAGCUGUCACGGGGAGGAGUGGCUCUGCGCCGCAGCCAUGGCGAGUUUAUCCUUGAGCAUGACAGGUGCAGACAGAGACCUCAGAAUUUGCGGCUCUGCCCUCUGAGUGAAGGAUGGACUGGCUCCUUGAGCCUCUGCUCCACCACCUGCCAUCAGAGGAGGCAACUCUGGCUCGGGGGGAGUGAAGCAGAGGGCAGGAUGUGCGCUCUGUAUGCCUUUGGGGCAACUUGGUGGGUGGGCAGGGUUGCGCAUGGGUGUGGUGACCUUGGCCAGACUGGAAGAAGGGACUUAGAGACUGGGAGCAUGAUGUCUGCGCCCCUCCCUGCACAGUGCAGGCCGGCAGGGCACGACUCUUCCUCACUUUCUCUCCUGCAGUGAUCUAUCCAUCUGACAAAUACUUGCAGAACGCCCACCAUUUGCAGGCACUGUGCCAGGUGCUGGGGACAGAGCAGUGAACAAGACCCCUAGAAGCCUGCCCUUAGGUAGCUUUGAGUCUAGUGAGGGCAGAAGUCAACAAACUCAACAAAGAAAUGAGAAAAAAGGGAACGAGGAGAGCUAGGAAGAGAAUUCAAACAGCCUGGUAAGAAAACUGAAGUCCAG